GGGUGCUUAGCUCAGCUGGGAGAGCGUCGCCCUUACAAGGCGAAGGUCGGGGGUUCAAACCCCUCAGCACCCACCA
rnacentral:tRNA from 1 species